rnacentral:rRNA from 1 species
UACGUAGGUUGCGAGCGUUAUUCGGAUUUACUGGGCGUAAAGCGCACCGAGGUGGCUUCUUAAGUUGGAUGUAAAAUCUCCCGGCUUAACUGGGAGGCGCCAUUCAAUACUGAGGAGCUUGAGGUCAGCAGGGGAAAGUGGAAUUCCCGGUGUAGUGGUGGAAUGCGUAGAGAUCGGGAGAAACACCAGUGGCGAAAGCGACUUUCUGGGCUGCACCUGACACUCUAGUGCGAAAGCGUGGGGAGCAAACAGG